UAAUUUUACUCAGGAUAGAUGGUAGAAAGU
rnacentral:piRNA from 1 species